rnacentral:rRNA from 1 species
UACGGGGGGAGCAAGCGUUGUUCGGAUUUACUGGGCGUAAAGGGCGCGUAGGCGGCCACGACAAGUCAGUUGUGAAAUCUCUGGGCUUAACUCAGAACGGUCAACUGAUACUGUCGGGCUAGAGUGCAGAAGGGGCAGCUGGAAUUCUCGGUGUAGCGGUGAAAUGCGUAGAUAUCAGGAGGAACACCGAUGGCGAAGGCAGGUCUCUGGGCCACUACUGACGCUGAGAAGCGAAAGCGUGGGGAGCGAACAGG